CUCCCUUACAGCCACAUCUCAUGGGGGUUAUUCCUCCUCAGCAGGGCUGAGCCCACACAUUGCCCAUGGUCACUCGUGGUCUUCCCCCAUGUUGGAGAAGGGGGAAGACACCAGUGGCUCCUGCUGCGGCUUGGCAAAGGUCGGGAUGAGCAUCUGAACAGGAUGCUUUUUGCCCCGUAAACCACAGGCCUUGGUCAGUUCAUGAGGGAAAAGAGAGCAGAGCAUUUUGAUGAGUGAGAAAUCCUGGUUUUCCUGGCCCAAAACACACCAUAGUUUAUGAAAUGUACACUGGGUGCAGCAGUAGGAUCAAGCCCUUCCCAUUCCUUUGGGAUGUGGCACAGAUGUGGUAUUGUCAGUGCAGGGAAAAGGGGUGGGAGAUCCAGGGAAAGGGUUCGAUGUGGUUUGUGGUGGGAAAGGCUGGGUUUACAGAGAGCCUGUCCAUGCAGGGGACCCCUCCAGCAGCAUCCCUGAGGAAGAGCCCAGCCAGGACCUGGCAAAACCAGGCCAUAGCAGGAGCUGGACCUGAACCCAGAGCUGAUGGAGCCGCUGCAGGGAAUCGGUGCUGGGUGAGCAGCAGGAGCAGGCACUUUGAUGGGAUUUAUGCCAUGCAGCACUUGUCAGCACAGCUUUAGCACCCCAUAAAGCAACGGCGAAGGCUGAACCUGAAAGGAGAACACAAGGAUGCCCUGGCUGGGCAAUUAAUGAGAGAAUUUGGGCUCAGGCCCUGCAAAGCUCCAUAAGGGAAAGGCUCAGGCGUGUGAGUGUGGGGGGUGAAGCCAUGGGGAGGUGUGGAAAAUGCAGGAGGAGGCUAGGAUGAGGGAAGGGGUGAUGCUCUGAUGCACUGUGGUAGCCCCAUGCAGGCACAGCUAACAACACCUGUGUCCAUCCGCAGGCACCCCACAGAUGGGGCACCGGGACCCCCAAAAGCAACCACCAGCAGCAAGGACAUGAGUGAAGAGCAGCGACCCAUGAGGGUCAGCAGGAGACCUGGCACAAAGCGUGGCUCUUGGUGCUGUGAGUGGAUGCUGUGGGGUCUGGGUGACUCGGAGAGGCUGCAGAAAGGCCAAGGCUCUGUUGGAAGCAUGGGCAGGAUCCAUGCAGUGCCCUUCCCAUGCCCAGGGUAAGGGUUGGCUCCCUCCUUUCCCAUAUAACCAGCCCCAAGGCUGGAGCCAGGUGUGCCCAGCGGGUCCCCUGCCCCACUGCCAAACGGGGGGCAUGGACCACAGGAUGACACCCCAGGAAGCCGGAAGGACACAGAGCUGCUGCCGCCAAGCCCAAGGCAUGGGGAGGAUGAGGUCUGCAGCCCAAGGAAAGGACGAAAAGCUCCUGUGCAUUAAAGGUGUUGCAAGCCCCCGG